rnacentral:ncRNA from 1 species
UUACCUUUUCCCCGUCGCUGCCAAUUCAGCGACCGGGCUUGGAAACUCGAUUG